rnacentral:tRNA from 1 species
AUAGAGCCUUAGUAGUAUAGU